UCUUGGGUCGUAAACCUCUUUUAUCAGGGAAGAACACAAUGACGGUACCUGAUGAAUCAGCAUCGGCUAACUCUGUGCCAGCAGCCGCGGUAAUACAGAGGAUGCAAGCGUUAUCCGGAAUUAUUGGGCGUAAAGCGUCCGCAGGUGGUUUUGGUAGUCUGCUGUCAAAGCGCGAGGCUCAACUUCGUAUCGGCGGUGGAAACUCCAAGACUAGAGCUAGGUAGGGGUCACGGGAAUUCCCAGUGUAGCGGUGAAAUGCGUAGAUAUUGGGAAGAACACCAGCGGCGAAAGCGCGUGACUGGGCCUGAGCUGACACUCAUGGACGAAAGCUAGGGGAGCG
rnacentral:rRNA from 1 species